AUUGAACGCUGGCGGCAGGCUUAACACAUGCAAGUCGAGCGAGCGGCGGCCGGGUGAGUAAUGGCUGGGAAACUGCAUGAUGGAGGGGGAUAACUACUGGAAAAGGUAGCUAAUACCGCAUACCAUCAGAUGUGCCCAGAUGGGAUUAGCUAGUAGGUGGGGUAAUGGCUCACCUAGGCUACGAUCUCUAGCUGGUCUGAGAGGAUGCCCAGCCACACUGGGACGGAGGCACGGCCCAGACUCCUACGGUAGUCAGCAGUGGUGAAUAUUGCGCAAUGGUGGCAACCCUGACGCAGCCAUGCCGCGUGAAUGAAGAAGGCCUUCGGGUUGUAAAGUGCUUUCGGGAGCGAGGCGUUAACUACAGAAGAAGCACCGGCUAACUCCGUGCCAGCAGCCGCGGUAAUUC
rnacentral:rRNA from 1 species